rnacentral:rRNA from 1 species
AGAGUUUGAUCCUGGCUCAGAAUCAACGCUGGCGGCGUGCCUAACACAUGCAAGUCGAACGAGAAAGCGGGGGCAACCCUGUGAGUAAAGUGGCGACCGGGUGAGUAACACGUGACUAACCUACCCUCGAGUGGGGAAUAACCUCGGGAAACCGGGGCUAAUACCGCAUAAUGUCUUCGGACCAAAGAAGCAAUUCGCUGGAGGAGGGGGUCGCGGCCGAUUAGCUAGUUGGUGAGGUAACGGCCCACCAAGGCAAUGAUCGGUAGCCGGCCUGAGAGGGCGCACGGCCACACUGGAACUGAAACACGGUCCAGACUCCUACGGGAGGCAGCAGUGGGGAAUUUUGCGCAAUGGGGGAAACCCUGACGCAGCAACGCCGCGUGGAGGAUGAAGCCCCUUGGGGUGUAAACUCCUUUCGAUCGGGACGAUUAUGACGGUACCGGAUGAAGAAGCACCGGCUAACUCUGUGCCAGCAGCCGCGGUAAUACAGAGGGUGCAAGCGUUGUUCGGAAUUAUUGGGCGUAAAGGGCGCGUA